CAGAGGGCUCUGGCUGCAGCUGAGGGAGGGGAUCUCGCUCCCUGCCUUUCCCAAGCUCUCUAUUCUUUCCCACCCAGGAUAUCAGGGGGCUGAGCUUCCUAGGUCACCCCAGCUGCUGCGGGUUCCCCCGUAGCGACCAGGCAGCCGCGGCUGCUCCUCCCGCCGAAGCUCGGCGUUCGGCCGGGUGGCCGACCGGAGGGAGAACUGCCGCUGGCCGGGCUCAGCCUCGCGGGGCAGCCGCGGGCGCCGCUCGCAGCCCUUAACCCUUCAGCAGCCGGAGACUCCAGAGGCUGUUAUCUGCCUGAGCUGCGGCUGCUGGUGGCAAUGGAGCAGUAUGUGUUGCUGGAUCCCCGGCAGAAGGCCUUGUACCACGACGUCAUGCAGGAGAGCUACGAGACGCUGAUGGCACUUGAAUUUCCACUGUCCAAGCCUGACUUGCUAUCCCGAUUGGAACAAGGAGAUGAGGCGACAUCCUUUGAGCUGCAGGACCCAGGAGUCAUCCUUCCAGGCGAGUCAUGGGCUUUCCU